GUCAGGCGGGACUACCCGCUGAGUUUAAGCAUAUAAAUAAGCGGAGGAGAAGAAACUUACAAGGAUUCCCCUAGUAACGGCGAGCGAACCGGGAGCAGCCCAGCUUGAGAAUCGGGCGGCUGUGCCGUCCGAAUUGUAGUCUGGAGAGGCGUCCUCAGCGACGGACCGGGCCCAAGUCCCCUGGAAAGGGGCGCCUGGGAGGGUGAGAGCCCCGUCCGGCCCGGACCCUGUCGCCCCACGAGGCGCCGCCAACGAGUCGGGUUGUUUGGGAAUGCAGCCCAAAUCGGGCGGUAGACUCCGUCCAAGGCUAAAUACAGGCGAGAGACCGAUAGCGAACAAGUACCGCGAGGGAAAGAUGAAAAGGACUUUGAAAAGAGAGUCAAAGAGUGCUUGAAAUUGCCGGGAGGGAAGCGGAUGGGGGCCGGCGAUGCGCCCCGGCCGUAUGCGGAACGGCUCUUGCUGGUCCGCCGCUCGG
rnacentral:rRNA from 1 species